CCAGGCUUCUGCGCAGGAUGCUUCUCAGUAGCAACAUCCCCAAACAGCGGCGUUUCACUGUGGCACAUACGUGGUAAGUACAUCACCAUUUUUGAAGUUCUAUUCAGAUGGGUAAGUCUUGCUGUUGGAGCUUCUCAUUUUGAUUUACAUGCUUGGAAAACCUGGACCAGACGAUGUGCUCACCAUGGUCAGACAAAUGCCUUUAUUUGAUUCAAGCAGAGAUCUGGAAAGAUAACAGCAUUUCCCACAUGCAUUCCAACUCCAUUUCAAAUCAUUGGCGGAAGAAUUACUCAUUAUGCUAAAUUGGAUAAAAUUUUAUAUUUAAUAUAAAUAAUUGAAGAUUGAGUUGUUUAUUCUAUCUGGAAAGGCAGAGUAUUUGAAAGACUUUAGAAUAGGAAAAAUGAUUUCCUUUCAAUUAGCAAUUAUAAAAGCCUCUCUAAAGUAAAUAUACAGACCUUUAUUUUUAUGCUUGCAAAUGGAAAAUCAUUUUUUAUUUUAAUUCAUAAAGAACAGUUAUUCCAUGAUUAUAUUAUAUUAAUGAGACAUAAUUUUGUACCAAGUAGAGAAGGUGGCCAGUGGCCCCACAAGGCAAUGUGCACAGAACAUUGUAGAGAGAACUCCUAUUCUGAGUGAGAUUUCAUGUAGUUAAUAUAGCAUAUCCAUGGUUGGCUGUAAUCUAGCCCCAUAAAUGCUUGAAGUGGAAUAAAUGACCUAAAUCACAACAACGGAUUUGGUAUAGACCUAGAUUGGAUGUGAAAGAUGAUCAAGCUAUGAAAUAUUUCACAAAAAGAAGUUGUGAGAUCUCUGAUAAACUUUAAAAACUGUAUAGACAAUUUUAUUUGUAUUAGGAAAUCAAGAUUUAUCCUGCCUUGAAGCAGAGUAUUAAAUUGACUAGCUGUUCUCAGUGAUACAGCCCAAGUUUGCUCCGCCAGCUUCAAUUUCCAUAAGUUACACCAUGUAUACUUCAUACGCUGUUAGUCUUGGUCUCCUGAGAGGCUAAUGCUAAAAUGGGGUUAGAAAUGCAAGGAUUUGGGGAAAUCCUGAUGUGAGAGAAUAUAGAGGGGAAGCCAGAUAAGGCUGUGAGAAACCUCAGAAUAUGAAAGAAAUUUGACCCUAAGUAAAGAAGAGAGAGAGGGAGGGGUGGUUGUGUAGAAGCAUCCUAGGUUGUGUUAGGUUAAGCCAUACAGGAGUCCUCAAGCCAAAAUCAGUCAUCAGAAGAGCCCUGUGUUUCUUGGGAGUGGAUCUGCCUCAGUAUCUUCACUGUGCUCUGGCAUUGCCUUGGGGAAGAUCAUGGGAAGUAUGACUAUAGCUCCGUUGCUUCAGUGGAUUUCAGAGGCAGCAGCUGGGGUCCUUUGGCCAAUUGUGAAUCCAAUCAAUAGUUAGAGGUCUGCAGUGCAUUCUUGUGGCCACCAUUCUUAGGCUCCUGGGUCUUGUUUCUUCCUCUCUCUAUUACGAUCCCUCUCCUACCACCAUUUCUGAGCCACAUCUGACUCAUUCUUCAUGUCCAAUUCAGUUAUCACUUCCUUCAUGAUCUGGAUAAGCAAGCGGCUAGUGAUUACUGCUCUCUUUUGGAAUUUUAUAAUUCUUUGUAUUUCCCUAUGGUAUUUGUUGCUUUUUAUUAUUCAUUUUCUCAAAAUAAUUAUUGAGAGCUGUGUUUAUAUUAGAUGUCUUCCUAUAGUCUGGGGGAGUGUUCAGAAAAAAUAAGGCCUGGGUAACAUUUUGAAAAGCUCAUGGUGGUCUAAUGAGAGAGACAACACAACAAAAUAAAUGAACUAAAAUACAGUAUAAAAGAGGUAGAACUGUGAGCAGAGAUGCAAGGUGAUAGAAUAAGGAAGAAUUACCUUUUGGGGGAUAAGGAAUGGUAGUGCUGAAGGAGGGAAAAUUUCAUGCAAUAAGUGAGACUGAACUUUAUCUUGAAGGUUGACCAGGUAGCUCAGGGUUGAUGGUUGAAUGGGCAGCAUGCACAAAGGCACAGUGGUAUGAAAGAGCACAGCGAAGGUUGAUAAUACGUGAAGUUUUACGUGACAGUGUGCAUUUAUGGGAUUAUGGUGAAAGCGGAGUCUGUAAGAUUCACCUAAAGUCAAAUUAUCUGGACCUUCUGGACUUGGUAAGUGGUUUGGACUAUACUCUAUGAGCCUUAAUCUAAUUCAGAACAUCUGAAAGUCAUGUGGACCUGGCUGAAUCAUAGAAGCACUAAUGUGUAUAAUUCUAUUAUGCCAUAACAAACAAACAAAAAAAGACAACUGUAUUUUUUGUGUUUUGUACAUGUUAAAUAUCCUUAAAUACAUUUUCUGUAUUUAAAAAUUGCUAUGAAACUAUAAUGAAGACAUUACAUUUUGACAAAAUAAAAUAAAAACAUGAAGGAGAAGGCCUAAGUAUAAUGGGAAGAUUUAGCGGAUUUUUAAUCUCAGGUAUAAGAUUUGUUACAAAAUAACCAUUUCCUCCUCUGCAUGCAUUUACUGUUUGUAUUGUGGGUUUAUAAGACAUAAUUGGAAAAUAUAGUUGUGUUCCAAAUCACAAUGUGAUAGUGAACAUGCUUUGCAAUGUUUGGGAAGGUAGUGUAGAAAUUCACUAGAAUGUCGUUCAACAGUUCUAGCUUUAAAUCUGCAUAAGCCCUAACAUCAAUAUGUUAUUCCACUUUAUAAGAAUUGUAGAUAUGCCCAUGCUUUUUAUUUUAAAGAAGGCAACUUGAAAUGGGGACAUGAUACCACUCUUCACAAAAUUACCAGUGUAGAGAUUAUGCUUUAAGCAAAAGUUAUCCACAGUUGGGGAGCAAUUAAGUUGACCAUUUGAUUAUGACAAGGGCAGAAAAAACUAUAGGGUCAUUACGUAAAAACUCAGGUUAGACACAUUCGUGUAAAUUAAAAUAUUUAUACAUAUAGGUAUAUUUACAAUGACUCCAAGCUGUUUAAACUAAGCCUGAGAGUGGUUUCUGAAUAUUUUUGUGAUGUUUGCUUGCUUUUGCUCAUUAUUUUGUACAUUUUCUAGCACAUGCCAGGAGUCAAGUUAUAGAAGGCAUGACUAUUUUUAAGCACAGUUUUUGGAUGAAUAACUUAAAAUGACAUAAUUAUAUUACCAGGAUAAAUGUUAUAGAAUUAUAUCUUCU